rnacentral:rRNA from 1 species
GUCUCUUCGGGGAUGAUUAAACCGGCGCACGGGUGAGUAACACGUGAGUGACCUGCCUUUUAGACUGGAACAACUUACCGAAAGGUGAGCUAAUGCCGGAUGAGUUAUAUAAGUGCAUGUUUAUAUAGGAAAAGUUGGGGAGACCUGACGCUGAAAGAUGGACUCGCGUCCCAUUAGCUAGUUGGUAGGGUAAUGGCCUACCAAGGCGACGAUGGGUAGCCGGCCUGAGAGGGUGGCCGGCCACACUGGGACUGAGACACGGCCCAGACUCCUACGGGAGGCAGCAGUGGGGGAUUUUGCGCAAUGCUCGUAAGAGUGGCGCAGCGACGCCGCGUGAAUGACGAAGGCCUUCGGGUCGUAAAGUUCUUUCGACAGGGAAGAAAAUGCCUAUAAGCAACUGUGUAUGUAUUGACGGUACCUGUAUAAGCAGCCCCGGCUAACUCCGUGCCAGCAGCCGCGGUAAUACGGAGGGGGCGAGCGUUGUUCGGAGUGACUGGGCGUAAAGAGCACGUAGGCGGUGUUGUAAGUCAUUAGUCAAAGACUAGAGCUCAACUUUAGUAAGGCUAGUGAUACUAUAAUACUAGAGUAUCAGAGAGGAUUGCAGAAUUCCUGGUGUAGCGGUGAAAUGCGUAGAUAUCAGGAGGAAUACCGUUAGCGAAGGCGGCAAUCUGGCUGGAAACUGACGCUGAGGUGCGAAAGCGUGGGUAGCAAACAGGAUUAGAUACCCUGGUAGUCCACGCUGUAAACGAUGGAUGCUAGGU